rnacentral:misc_RNA from 1 species
AGCACUUUCAUUGGCAAAAAGGACCACCACUCAAACUCAAACUAGCAAACCCAAAUCAAGAUAUAUGCCAAAGAAAAGAAAGAAAAGUAUCACAUUUAUUUGACUUUUAUGGAUUUUUUAAAUAUUUUACUUUGUGCCUCACCUCGCUAAGGUGCGUGCCUGCACCUUGCGUCUUGCGCCUGGGCUCCAGGAUUCCUCGACACUUUAGUGCGCCUUAAGCCUUUAAUA